rnacentral:rRNA from 1 species
CCUACGUGAUGCUGCAGUGGGGAAUAUUGGACAAUGGGCGAAAGCCUGAUCCAGCCAUGCCGCGUGUGUGAAGAAGGCCUUCGGGUUGUAAAGCACUUUCAGUGGGGAAGAAAGCCUUGGGGCUAAUACCCUCGAGGAAGGACAUCACCCACAGAAGAAGCACCGGCUAACUCCGUGCCAGCAGCCGCGGUAAUACGGAGGGUGCGAGCGUUAAUCGGAAUUACUGGGCGUAAAGCGCGCGUAGGCGGUCUGAUAAGCCGGUUGUGAAAGCCCCGGGCUCAACCUGGGAACGGCAUCCGGAACUGUCAGGCUAGAGUGCAGGAGAGGAAGGUAGAAUUCCCGGUGUAGCGGUGAAAUGCGUAGAGAUCGGGAGGAAUACCAGUGGCGAAGGCGGCCUUCUGGACUGACACUGACGCUGAGGUGCGAAAGCGUGGGUAGCAAACAGGAUUAGAUACCCGUGUAGUC